AAUGGGAUAGCUGGGUCAAAUGGUGGUUCCAUUCCAAGUUUUCUAAGGAAUCUUCAUAUUGCUUUCCAAAGUGGUUCCACUAUUUUCCAAUCCCACCAGCAAU
rnacentral:pre_miRNA from 1 species